GCACAUUGAAAUUGACGAUCGUGGCAAAUAUGGCAAACACAUCAUCAUGGAGGAGAUCCAAACCUCUCAAAUCCUCAUUGGUGAAGGUGAGGGGCUAGUGAGAUCCAGUUAUAGGUGAGGAGAGGUCAUUAACCUCUUCUUCAGCUCGCUCAUUCGCUUAUCUUGCAUGCCUUUUCCGAGAUGAGGUAGAACAUCCUCUUGAUUCAAA
rnacentral:lncRNA from 1 species